UGCCGCAAGGCCAUUAAUAUAAUACAACUUUUAACAACGGAUCUCUUGGCUCUCGCAUCGAUGAAGAACGCAGCGAAAUGCGAUAAGUAAUGUGAAUUGCAGAAUUCAGUGAAUCAUCGAAUCUUUGAACGCACCUUGCGCUCCCUGGUAUUCCGGGGAGCACGCCUGUUCGAGUGUCGCGAAAUUUCUCAAGCUUGGAUGGCUUUUUUGUCUGUCCUUAGCCUUGGUUGUUGGGCUUUGCCGUGUCCUUCAUUGGGUACGGCUGGCCUUAAAAGCAUUAGCUGAUCCUCGUGUGGCACUGGUUCUACUCAGCGUGAUAACAAUCUGAUCGCUGAGGACAUCUUUCGGGAUGGCCAGCUCUCACUUGGGUUGCUUCUAGACUUGGUUUUGCAGAUUGUUCAAUCUGCGUUCCACUUUUCAGCUUUGACCUCGAAUCAGGUGGGACUACCCGCUGAACUUAAGCAUAUCAA
rnacentral:rRNA from 1 species